CUUUUUGGCCAAGAUAUUUUAAAGGCACCAAAUCCCAUCUGAUCUUGGAAAUUAAGGAAGUUCAGCCCUUGUUCUUAUUUGGAUGAGAGACCGCCAAUGAAUACUGAUUGCUGUAGGCU
rnacentral:rRNA from 11 species